GAUGAACGCUGGCGGCGUGCCUAAUACAUGCGAGUCGAGCGAACAGACGAGGAGCUUGCUCCUCUGACGUUAGCGGCGGACGGGUGAGUAACACGUGGAUAACCUACCUAUAAGACUGGGAUAACUUCGGGAAACCGGAGCUAAUACCGGAUAAUAUAUUGAACCGCAUGGUUCAAUAGUGAAAGACGGUUUUGCUGUCACUUAUAGAUGGAUCCGCGCCGCAUUAGCUAGUUGGUAAGGUAACGGCUUACCAAGGCAACGAUGCGUAGCCGACCUGAGAGGGUGAUCGGCCACACUGGAACUGAGACACGGUCCAGACUCCUACGGGAGGCAGCAGUAGGGAAUCUUCCGCAAUGGGCGAAAGCCUGACGGAGCAACGCCGCGUGAGUGAUGAAGGUCUUCGGAUCGUAAAACUCUGUUAUUAGUGAAGAACAAAUGUGUAAGUAACUAUGCACGUCUUGACGGUACCUAAUCAGAAAGCCACGGCUAACUACGUG
rnacentral:rRNA from 1 species